rnacentral:rRNA from 1 species
UACGUAGGGUGCAAGCGUUGUCCGGAUUUAUUGGGCGUAAAGAGCUCGUAGGCGGCUUGUCGCGUCGUCCGUGAAAACUUGGGGCUCAACCCCAAGCCUGCGGUCGAUACGGGCAGGCUAGAGUUCGGUAGGGGAGACUGGAAUUCCUGGUGUAGCGGUGAAAUGCGCAGAUAUCAGGAGGAACACCGGUGGCGAAGGCGGGUCUCUGGGCCGAUGACUGACGCUGAGGAGCGAAAGCGUGGGGAGCGAACAGG